rnacentral:rRNA from 1 species
UACGGAGGGUGCGAGCGUUGUCCGGAAUCACUGGGCGUAAAGGGCGCGUAGGUGGCGCGGGCAGUCAACGGUGAAAGUUCGGGGCUCAACCCUGAAUCGGCCGUCGAUACUCCCGGGCUGGAGCACUGUAGAGGCUAAUGGAAUUCCGGGUGUAGCGGUGGAAUGCGUAGAGAUCCGGAAGAACACCGGUGGCGAAGGCGGUUAGCUGGGCAGUUGCUGGACACUGAGGCGCGACAGCGUGGGGAGCAAACAGGG